AUUGAACGCUGGCGGCAUGCCUUACACAUGCAAGUCGAACGGCAGCACGGACUUCGGUCUGGUGGCGAGUGGCGGACGGGUGAGUAAAGUAUCGGAACGUACCUUUCAGUGGGGGAUAACGUAGCGAAAGUUACGCUAAUACCGCAUAUUCUGUGAGCAGGAAAGCAGGGGAUCGCAAGACCUUGCGCUGAUUGAGCGGCCGAUAUCAGAUUAGCUAGUUGGUAAGGUAAAGGCUCACCAAGGCGACGAUCUGUAGCGGGUCUGAGAGGUUGAUCCGCCACACUGGAAAUGAGCCCCGGUGCAUACUCCUGCGGGAGGAAGCAGUGGGGAAUUUUGGACAAUGGGGGCAACCCUGAUCCAGCCAUGCCGCGUGAGUGAAGAAGGCCUUCGGGUUGUAAAGCUCUUUCGGCCGGGAAGAAAUCGCAUGGGUUAAUACCCUGUGCGGAUGACGGUACCAUGCAAGAAAGGAUCGGCUAACUUCGUGCCAGCAGCCGCGGUAAUAC
rnacentral:rRNA from 1 species